rnacentral:rRNA from 1 species
AUCCGGAAUUACUGGGCGUAAAGGGUGCGUAGGUGGUUUCUUAAGUCAGAGGUGAAAGGCUACGGCUCAACCGUAGUAAGCCUUUGAAACUGAGAAACUUGAGUGCAGGAGAGGAGAGUAGAAUUCCUAGUGUAGCGGUGAAAUGCGUAGAUAUUAGGAGGAAUACCAGUUGCGAAGGCGGCUCUCUGGACUGUAACUGACACUGAGGCACGAAAGCGUGGGGAGCAAACAGGAUUAGAUACCCUGGUAGUCCACGCCGUAAACGAUGAGUACUAGCUGUCGGAGGUUACCCCCUUCGGUGGCGCAGCUAACGCAUUAAGUACUCCGCCUGGGAAGUACGCUCGCAAGAGUGAAGCUCAAAGGAAUUGACGGGGACCCGCACAAGUAGCGGAGCAUGUGGUUUAAUUCGAAGCAACGCGAAGAACCUUACCUAAGCUUGACAUCCUUCUGACCUCUCCCUAAUCGGAGAUUUCCCUUCGGGGACAGAAGUGACAGGUGGUGCAUGGUUGUCGUCAGCUCGUGUCGUGAGAUGUUGGGUUAAGUCCCGCAACGAGCGCAACCCUUGCCUUUAGUUGCCAGCAUUAAGUUGGGCACUCUAGAGGGACUGCCAGGGAUAACCUGGAGGAAGGUGGGGAUGACGUCAAAUCAUCAUGCCCCUUAUGCUUAUGGCUACACACAUGCUACAAUGGGUGGUACAGAGGGUUGCCAAACCGUAAGGUGGAGCUAAUCCCUUAAAGCCAUUCUCAGUUCGGAUUGUAGGCUGAAACUCGCCUACAUGAAGCUGGAGUUACUAGUAAUCGCAGAUCAGAAUGCUGCGGUGAAUGCGUUCCCGGGUCUUGUACACACCGCCCGUCACACCACGGAAGUUGGGGGCGCCCGAAGCCAGAUAGCUAACCUUUUGGAAGCGUCUGUCGAAGGUGAAAUCAAUAACUGGAGUG